CUGGGUGGGCGCCGUCUAAUCAGAUACCAGCGUGGCUAAAGCAGGCAGAAGAAGGUGGAAGGAGUGAACUUGCUGAGUCUUCCAGCCUUCAUCUCUUUCCUGUGCUGGAUGCUUCCUGCCUCCAAACAUCUGACUCCAAGUUCCUCGGCUUUUGGACUCUUGGACUUACACUGUGGUUUGCCAGGGGCUCCUGGGCCUUCACCCACAGACUGAAGGCUGCACUGUCGGUUUCCUUGCUUUUGAGGUUUUGGGACUUGCACUGUCUUCCUUGCUCCUCAGCUUGCAGAUGGCCUAUUGCAGUACUUCACCUUGUGAUCAUGCCCUUCAGCAUAUGAAACCAGCAUACCAGAUGACCACGUAUGAUCCAGUGUUGUCAAAGGAGAAGCUGAGGAGGUGUUAGACUUCUUGGUUGCAAGUGGUGGCUGGGCUGCUACUGGACGUGCUGAGUGUGGUUCAACACCAUCUGAUGGUGUCAUGAUGAUACGGGAGGACGGCAGGGAAGUGCUGGGAGGAGAAGGUCCCUGGUGAGGGCUCCAGCCCUGGGCCUGGGCCCAGGGACAUAGGUAAGGACAGGCACUCCUGCCUUAGCGUCCAAAUGUUGCAUUUCCCAAGACCACCCUGGCCCGCCAUGCCCCAUCCUGUACCUGUGAAAACCCCGAGACCUUAGUGGGCACAGACACAAGCAGCUGGACAUUGACAGGAACACACCGGCGGAAGAAGACACAAGCGGCUGGAUGUCGAGAGGAACGUACCGGCGUAAGAGCACAUUGACAGCCCCAGCAGACUGGCAGGCCAUCAACUGGCAGAACGACACUAAGUUUGGCCAGGGUGGUCGGAGGAGAGCCUGGCCCUGAGUGGACCGACUCGAGGGGAAAACCACCUUCCCACUCCAUCUCCCUUCUGGCUCCCCCAUGGGCUGAGGGCUACUUCCACUGAAUAAAACCUUGCACUCAUUCUCCAAGCCCAUGUGUGAUCUAAUUCUCCUGGUACACCAAGGCAAGAACCCCGGGAUACAGAAAGCUCUCUGUCCUUGCGAUAAGCCAGAGUGUCUAAUUGAGCUGGUUAACACCAGCCGCCCACCGACGGCAAAACUAAAAGAGCACUCUGUAACACACGCCCACUGGGGCUUCAGGAGCUGUAAACAUCCACCCCUAGACACUGCCGUGGGGUUGGAGCCCCA
rnacentral:lncRNA from 10 species